UACGGAGGGUGCAAACGUUGUUCGGAAUUAUUGGGCGUAAAGGGUGCGUAGGCGGCCUGACAAGUCUGAUGUGAAAUCCCUGGGCUCAACCCUCGGAUGCCGGUGGAUACUGUCGGGCUUGAGUACGGAAGAGGCGAGUGGAAUUCCUGGUGUAGCGGUGAAAUGCGCAGAUAUCAGGAGGAACACCGAUGGCGAAGGCAGCCAUCUGGACCGACACUGACGCUGGAGGCGCGAAAGGCGUGGGGAGCAAACAGG
rnacentral:rRNA from 1 species